AAUAUUUUAAGUUAUAAUACUUAACACAUGCAAGUCUUACAAAUUAUUAUUUUAUAAUUUUUUGUGGCAAACGGGUGAGGAAAAUGCAGAAUGCUACCUUUUAGUCUAUUAAAAUAAUAGAUAUUUAAAAAAGGUUAUAUUUUAAAAAAAUAUUUCCGCUAAAAGAUGGGUCUGUAUAAGAUUAGGUAGUUGGUAAAUUUAACAGCUUACCAAGCCAUUGAUCUUUAGUUGGUCUUAGAGGAUGAUCAACCACACUGGAACUGAAAUAAGGUCCAGGCUGAUUUUUUCGGCCAGCAGUGAGGAAUAUUGGACAAUGAACGAAAGUUUGAUCCAGCAAUGCUAUAUGAAUGAAGACGGUCUUUUUUGAUUGUAAAGUUCUUUCGUUAAGAAUGAUAAUGACAUUACUUAAGGAAGUAGUCCUGGCUAAUACUCGUGCCAGCAGCCGCGGUAAUACGGGAAGGGCAAGCGUUAUUCGACAUUACAGGGCGUAAAGAGUCCGUAUACAGCAAAGUAAGUUAUUUGUUAAAACUUAAAGCCCAACUUUAAGAUAGCUUGUAAUACUGCUUUACUUGAGUUUUAUACAGAAAAGUAGAAUUUUAUACGAAAGGGUAAAAUCUGGAAAUAUAUAAAGGAAUACCAAUAGCGAAGGCGACUUUUUAGUAAAAACUGACGUUGAGGGACGAAAGUAUGGGGAGCAAACAGGAUUAGAUACCCUGGUAGUCCAUACUGUAAAUUAUGAGUGUUGAAAUUUAAUGUAAAUUUAAAUAAUUUAUUUAGAUUUUUAAGCUAACGCUAUAAACACUCCGCCUGAGGAGUACGAUCGCAAGGUUGGAACUCAAAGAAACUGACGGGGGCUAAUACUAGUGGUGGAGCAUGUGGUUUAAUGCGAUAAUCCGCGCAGAAUCUUACCAAUUCUUGACAUAAUAUUCAUUUUAAAUUUGCAAAUAGGUUAUUUUAAAAUUUAGAAUAUUACAGGUGUUGCACGACUGUCGUCAGUUCGUGUCGUGAGAUGUUUGGUUUAUUCCCUUAACGGACGCAACUCUUAGCUUUAAUUUUUUACUUUUAUAUCAAUUAAUUACAGAUAUAUUAAGCUUUAAAGUUACUGACAAUUAUAAGUUGAAGGAAGGUAAGAACGAAGUCAAGUCAAUGUGACCCUUAUGAAUUGGGCUACACACGUGCUACAAUGAAAAUUACAAAAAGUAACAAAAAAUAUUUUUUGUUAAUCUACGAAAAAUUUCCCCAGUUCGGAUUGUAAGCUGUAACUCGCUUACAUGAAGUUGGAAUCACUAGUAAUCGUAAAUCAGAACGUUACGGUGAAUAUGUCAAUUAGUCUUGUACAAACCGCCCGUCACAUGCAGAAAGUUGGUUUUGUUUGAAGAUUUUAUUUUAUAAAGUCGAUUUCAAAAUUAAUAAUUUGGAUGAAGUCGUAACAAGGUAGCUGUACGGGAACGUGUAGCUG
rnacentral:rRNA from 1 species